UGGGGAAUUUUCCGCAAUGGGCGAAAGCCUGACGGAGCAAUGCCGCGUGGAGGUGGAAGGCCUACGGGUCGUCAACUUCUUUUCUCGGAGAAGAAACAAUGACGGUAUCUGAGGAAUAAGCAUCGGCUAACUACGUGCCAG
rnacentral:rRNA from 1 species